rnacentral:rRNA from 1 species
GAUGAACGCUGGCGGCGUGCCUAAUACAGGCAAGUCGAGCGAACGGACGAGAAGCUUGCUUCUCUGAUGUUAGCGGCGGAGGGGUGAGUAACACGUGGAUAACCUACCUAUAAGACUGGGAUAACUUCGGGAAACCGUAGCUAAUACCGGAUAAUAUUUUGAACCGCAUGGUUCAAAAGUGAAAGACGGUCUUGCUGUCACUUAUAGAUGGAUCCGCGCUGCAUUAGCUAGUUGGUAAGGUAACGGCUUACCAAGGCAACGUUGCAUAGCCGACCUGAGAGGCUGUUCGGCCACGCUGGAACUGAGACACGGUCCAGACUCCUACGGGAGGCCGCAGCAGGGAAUAUUCCGCAAUGGGCGAAAGCCUGACGGAGCAACGCCGCGUGAGUGAUGAAGGUCGUCGGAUCGUAAAGCUCUGUUAUGAGGGAAGAACAUAUGUGUAAGUAACUGUGCACAUCUUGACGGUACCUAAUCCGAAAGCCACGGCUAACUCCGUG